UACAGGGGGUGCAAACGUUGCUCGGAAUUAUUGGGCGUAAAGCGCGCGUAGGCGGCUACCUAAGUCGGAUGUGAAAGCCCCUGGCUUAACUGGGGAAGUGCACCCGAAACUGGGUAGCUAGAGUGCAAAAGAGGGUCGCGGAAUUCCCAGUGUAGAGGUGAAAUUCGUAGAUAUUGGGAGGAACACCGGUGGCGAAGGCGGCGACCUGGGUUGACACUGACGCUGAGGCACGAAAGCGUGGGGAGCAAACAGG
rnacentral:rRNA from 1 species